UCAACUAUUAUGAAAUACUAAAAAUAUCAAGCUUACACAUUUUGAGGAGUAAUGAACUUGAUAAUUCCAGAAUCACUUUCCCGUUUAGCUAGUAUAUAUUGUGAAUUAACUUACAACAUUAAAGCUAAACAAACAACAAAAUGUACACAUGUCAUAGUCUCAACAGUCCAUGAUUAAUUACAGCCUGACUCUUAGCUAGUCUAGAGAAAAGUCAACUACAUCACUAACAGAAAUUGAACAGGCGUAGAGUCAUGAAAGAAAUAACACUUUUAAUACAAAGAAAACUAAUGUUAAGAGGUAAAAAAUGCUUCAUUCCAUCUUCAAAACUCGGUUUCACAUUAUGAGAUUCAAGGUUUGUGCCUGGAGAUCGAAAUAAGGAAAAAUAAGGAGGAUCAGCAGAGUAACACAACAGUCAAAACCCAACAGCAAUGCAACUCAAUCAAAUCGAGUUCCAAGACUAAAAGGGGGCGAUAUCACUCGAACAAUACCCAUAGCAAACAAAAUUUUAAUAGAGUAAAACCAAAACAGUGCUCCACCAGUCUAACCAAACGAUUUCAAUCAAAUGCAAAACCCACACCUCAAAUUCAGACCUUAAAGCUAGAUUCAAAUCAUGUUUGAGCUUUAAGUGAAACCCAAAAAUGCUUCAGAUGUAAAAAAUCAAAGCAGAGACAAUGAAAUAGUGUUUUUGGUUAUUUAGCCGCGUGAAAUUUUUU
rnacentral:lncRNA from 1 species